GCCCGUUUAGCUCAGUGGUAGAGCGCCCCACUCGUACCAAUUAAUUGGAGAACAUGGGGAGGUCGACGGAUCAAUCCCGUCAGUGGGCA
rnacentral:tRNA from 1 species